rnacentral:rRNA from 1 species
CUACGGGCGGCUGCAGUGGGGAAUAUUGCACAAUGGAGGAAACUCUGGUGCAGCAACGCCGCGUGGAGGAUGACGCAUUUCGGUGUGUAAACUCCUUUUAUAUGUCAAGAAAACGACGGUAGCAUAUGAAUAAGCACCGGCUAACUCCGUGCCUGCAGCCGCGGUAAUACGGAGGGUGCAAGCGUUACUCGGAAUCACUGGGCGUAAAGGACGCGUAGGCGGGUUGGAAAGUCAGGUGUGAAAUCCUACAGCUUAACUGUAGAACUGCACUUGAAACUUCUAAUCUAGAGUAUGGGAGGGGGAGAUGGAAUUAGUGGUGUAGGGGUAAAAUCCGUAGAUAUCACUAGGAAUACCUAAAGCGAAGGCGAUCUCCUGGAACAUUACUGACGCUAAGGCGUGAAAGCGUGGGGAGCAAACAGGAUUAGAUACCCCCGUAGUC